GCGGGGCAGCUUCCGCCCGGCCGCUGUGGGGGCCGCUGAGGACCACUAGUCGCUUCCGCGCUCGUUUCUGAUCCGGCGCUGGUCUUGAGUAAAAUCAAGUUGCCAGGCUGCAAGUGAUGGAUCAAGGAGGCCAGAAGAGGAGUCUCGACAGUAGUUCCUAAUAUUACAGCAGAGGAAGAACAAAAGAAACACACAGAGGUCUUGAUUUGACUGGGAACAAGCUUGUGACUCUGGCAGGCAUUUUUUGAGGGUCACCUCUGAGACACAGCGCCAUCCUGUGAGAAAGCCUAGGCCACCUGGAGAGGAGCCCUCUGGGGUUUCUACCUACAGCAACACAAGUCUCAGCAGAAAGCCAGCAUCAGUUGCCAGGCAGGCACUGACCAAAACAUUCUAAUACCCAGUGCAUAAACUGAGGGUGCUGAAAACCAGGAUGCAAAACAAGGCCGACUGGCAAAGCAGACACAUCAGGAUUGUAGAUGCUGAUUCUGCAGAGGCGGCUACCGAGACAGCCUAGAGAAGAGGACAGAAAGAGGAUGAAGAGGUGAAGGAGGCAGGCCCAGGGCACCGCAAUGCAGUACUGGGGAUCUUAACUAUUGAAGGAGGGAAUCCACUGGAAGGAAGGAGCUCCAAAUAUCUGAUAUAAAUAUGAUUUCCAUGGGCAAGUAAAUGUAAUAUUAAGAGAUGCGCAUGAUGGGCGCCCAUGAAAAAUCCCAGCAUGCUCUAGGAACAGGGUAAGUCCAGACAGCAAUGGAGGAGUUGAAGCAGCAGGUCUGUUGGGCUUGGUCCCUGGUACAUCCAAGGAAACCUGGCUCCAUGAUGAUGACCCUUGAACAAGCUCUAAAACUAAAACUUGGAAUGCUCACACAGCACUGACUGCUGAUGUCAUUCUAGGUGUGUGAAGCACUGGGCAGAUGUGCCUGACUGUCUCCACUGCUGAAAGUAAACAGGAACCAUCUGUUAUGGACCCAGUGUCUAGUGUGGGGCCUGUGCCACAGCUGACCAUCUGGCAGCUACAUUUAAAAGCUCUGAACUCCAAGGCUCAAGAAGACUUGCCUGGGUAGAUGCUUCUCAUGUCUGUGAUCACAGUGAGCAGGUGCAUGCAUGACAACCAGAGAGGAGCCUGUGACCAGACGUCUGGACUCUGCUUAUGAAUGCCCUCCCUUCUGGCCCUGUUGGCUGUAAGACUCUCAGAGUAUUACAGCCGAGUCACGAUCYGCUCCUGAGGAUCGCUGAACCAAACUGUCCACAGGUCCUGGAAAUGUAGUCCUAUAGAGAGGUUAUACUGGACCAACCCUAAUAAGCUUACUGUCCCAAAAUCAAUGUCAGUAGGAUCAAGCCAUGGCCAAAUGGCAUUAACAGGAGUUGGAUUUACCCUCCUGCAUGAAACACCAAAAAUUCCAGACAAAAUGAAACAAGUUCCAACAUCUAGAACCUCAGGUAAUGAAGCUCAGUGGUUGGGAAGCAA